CUGUCAGAGGCCCAGGCCCUGCUGCCGCCCUGCGCGUUGUGCUGCGCUGAGCCCGCUGGCUGUGCUGGCAGCCGUGCCCAGCCCCUUCCUGGGUGGCUACGCAUAGAGAAUGUCCAGCUCGUGACCACGUUUCCACCUCAGCCCUUUCCCCACUCUUCUCUCUGCAGUACUAUUCCGUGAAGCAAUUCUGUUGCAAAACUGUGCCUUGCUUAGAUGCUUAACCUCCAUGGGGCAAGAAGAUACAGGAUGUGGCACUGAAGAGAUCCGUUGGACCUGGAGAAUGGUCCUGAAUAGGCAUCUGCCUGUAACAAAUCAGAGUCGUGAGCCUGUUUGCCCUCGGUUACUUGGAAAAUUAAAGGCAAUGCACCAUUCUCUGACAAGAAAAUGUGACUUUCCCCUCCUCUCUUCUUCAUAAAACUGCAAAUGUUUAUAUGGUUAUGUUUUAAGUGCUUAUGUUUUUGACCUCUUGGGGUAAAAACGGUGAAUAACACCUUCAGCCAUAGUGGCAUAUCAGCUGAGGAUGACUCAUCCCUAGGCUCCCAGACUGUCAGAGAUGUAGCUGUGGUACAAAGCAAUUUCAAAAUAGCUGUACGUACAGCUCCCAGCUGCAGUGGAGAGAAGUGUCUGCCUGUGUAGGGGAGUAUAACUGAUCUGCAAGGUAAAUGAUCUCACAAAAGCAGCUUCUUGCUAUCACUAAUGGCUUGCCGGCAGGACUUCACCCUGCAGCCCCAGUCAUCACCUGUAUCCAGGCUGCUCGCUUGUGUGGGGGCUGACCCGCGCAGUGAGGCAACGCAGGCAGUGCCGGAGCCACCACUAACAGGAACACUGGACUACUUUUAAUAUUUCACAGCUGAAUACAGAUUUUCAGUUACAGUGUCGUCAUCUUUGUCCAGUAUGUAUAUACAUGUGUAUAGUCUUGCAAGUCUGGUCCUUGGGUAUGGCCAAAUACCAUGCGGAUGUAUCUGAACCAGCUUUAGAUAUCAUUACUGAAACACGGAGCUCAGGGUGAGGAACAUCUCAAAUGUCUCAAGCUUACUCCACAAAACUGGCUAAGCAAUCAUCUCUCAGUGGCAGCUCGCUACGCUCUUUUUUCUGCAAAACCACCAAGCUAUACUGAAGAAGCUGUGUCGCUGCUGAAAUGGAGCAAAUGAUAGAAAAUACGGAUGACGAUACACGUUGUGCAUUGAGCAUCAAUACAGAUGGAUACCGCAAGAAGAAAUCCAUGGCUAUUAUGAAGUCCUGUUUGGACAGGACACUUCCACUCUCAUCUUGGCCACAGUUGUGUUUUUUGUACUAUCAAUAAGUGUCUGCAUUGGAUCUAGAUACCUGGAUAUCUUUUAUAGUGAGUGGAGAAAAACGGGCACUUUCAUGAUGCAGUUCAUCUUGUUCUAAGAUACAUGCCUCCAGUCCUGUCACUGGGCACCACUGAAAAGUGUCUGGCUGCCUUUUCUUCACUCCCUCCCUUCAGGUAUUUAUACAGAUGGAUGGGAUCCCCCUGAGCCUCCUCUUCUCCAUGGUGAACAAUCCCAGCCCUCUCAGUCUCGAGGAGCCAAGAAGGAAAGGUGCUCUCCUGGACUUGAUACUUAUAAACAAGGAAGAACUGGUCAGGUAUAUGAAAGUUGGAGGCAGCCUUGGCUGCAGUGGUCAGUGACCACUGGAGUAACAGGAUCCAGGAGGAUCCGGGAGAAAGAGGAACCUAAGAGGAGGAAGCAAGCCAAAAAGCGGGACGACAAGCCUGCAUUUCAGGAGAUUAGACCUCGACCGUUUCAGAGAUCUUCUUGGAAGAAUCCCAUCGGAUAUGACCCUGGGAAGAAGAGGGGUCCAGGGAAGCUGGUUGAUAUUCAAAGAUCACCUCCUCCAAGCUCAAGGAAGGUCCAUCCCAACCAGUAAGAGAUCAAACAAAGGCAGCAGGAGUCCUGCAUGGAUGCGCAAGGAGCUUCUAAAUGAGUUCAGAUUAAACAAGGAAAUGCACAAGAUGAGGAAGCUGGCAGGUGACCCAUAGGGUGUGCAGAAUGUAUCUUUAAUAAGGGUCCUGUUUCCAUUGACUGUAUCCCAACUCCAUUUGAAGGACAGACUUAGGCGUGCACCGUAUCAAAGUUCCUAGCCUUUGAUACAUACCCUACCAAGUUUCAACAGAAAUGAAGCCCAGAAUUGCGGGCUGAAUGGGACCCACAGUGUUUUCCAGCAUUUUUUUCUGAUCUCUACAACUGGAGAUGAAGAUCUGGGUCUCCAGCAAAAGUGAAUCUACAGUAGCAGCAGUUUUUGAAGAUACAGUCAUAGCUGAGCAAACACACAGACGGAGGAAAGCUCCCCGCAUAUAAACUCAUCUAUUUUUUUAGAAAAAGAAGCCAAUGGACACACAAAAAAUGGAAUCCAACCAAGGCAUGAAUAUUUAUAGCACCAGAUGUUUGAAUGAACUAGAAGACCCUUAACUCCAUCUGAACCAGAUGCCCAUAAGAACAGAGCUAAGAGAGGAAAAAAGAUAGCUUUUCAGGCUUCUUUUUUCUGAAUCAGAGAAACAAGAGUACUGUUUAAGUAGAAGAGAGAGAUUUUUGUAAUGUGAGCCUAGAGAUAUGUGGCAGAGUUAGCCUCUACUAAUUCUGAAAAGGCUACUUAUCACCACGGUAGAGAUAACUGAUACAAAGUUCAGAUUUAGCGAAGGGAAAAACAGUAUGGAUCUUUGCUGUAACUUGUUACUCUGCUGUUUUUAAACAUUAUGCCUGACAUUUAUUACUGAAAAAUGUAGUGACUCAUAUGUCAGAGAGAGUAAUAGUGAGUCAGUAAGGAAACCAGCGCUGGUAUCCUCUAUCUUUUGGGAUAAAGAGGCUGAUACCACACUCUCUUAUACUACUUCUGUCCAAAUCUAGCUCGCAAAUUAAUAUAUCUGAUAGAUCAAGUUGCUAAUUUAUUUCACUACUAGUACUAUUGCCACUAAAGGAGAGUAAUUAUAUUUACUGCCUGCGUUUGUAAACCCCAUUAGAAUUGGUUUAUGUGAUCAUCAUCUCACGGCCAUGUUAUAAGAGCUCUUAAAUCUGAAGGCUUAGAUUAAAUACCUAUACCAGAAAAAAAAAAAAAGACUCUAUGAAAACCAAAUGACUAGGGCAAAAAUGUCAGUGAGUCAGAGUCUGUCGAUGGCCCCAAUACUAAGUGACUGGCUUACUUCCCAAAAGCAUGAAUAGGAAAAAAACCCACUAAGCGGUGACUAGGCUUCUUUCAAUCUUGUAUCUUCAGAACAGAAGUCUGGCAACAUUCAGGACACAAGCACAAUCCCAACAAUAUGUCUUAAAUAUGUGCACUAUGUACACCACAGCUGGAAUAUUAAUAAACAAGUGCUCAAACUUGGUUCUUCAGAAAAAUAAACCACUAUAUGUUGAUUUUGUAUUGAACGUCAUGCAGAGUUCAAGAUUAGGAAUACCUGCCUCCAAAUCUGUGAUUGAUUUAUGUCCACAACAACCAAGAAAAGAUGCAGAACCACAACUGCUCUCUUCUGUUUUCACAAAACAAAGCCAUCAAAAGUGGGUGUAACGAUUGCUUGUGACUUGCUAAUAAUCCCUUUGUGACUCAGUAUCUCUGGUAGAAUGUAAAAUCUGCCCCAAAUUUAUCUUCUUUUUGCUUCAAAGUUGCAGGUGCUAUCUAAUUUUCUUUCAUAGUAACAUACAGACAAUGGUACAAGCUGUCCAGUUUCCCUUUAUGAGAGCAAAACAGAAGAGGCAUCUUGUGUUCAGCACCUCAGCACCAGGUAUUUCGCCAAGAUGGUGGUGAUGGAUACAAAAAGACAUAAGUAAAAAGUUUGGGGGGUUUUAUGAAAGCACAUGAAGUUAUUUUUCUAAGACCAUAGAAGGGAGGAUCUUAAAUGUCUGUCUUGAUUUUUAGACAGCUAAACAUACAUAUACCUAGUUGACAGCAAUGAGAGUUUAAGGUUAUUUCUGAAUUGCAGGUAAAUGUAGUGGAAAUUCUGUUGCUGUGAACCUUGCUACAGAAAAUUCAUAAAGGCACAGGAAUGAAUUCUUCCUGAAGGACCAUUUCCUUCCUGUAAAUUUCUAUGGAACAAAAGCAAAUUUCCUGCAAAAGCUCUCAUUCACCUCAACAGAGAGCAGAACUGGGUACUUAAAAAGGAAAGAGGGUAAAAACAAGGUUACUUAGCAGCUAACUGUAAAGGCAAGUAUGUUUUCCCUGGCUGCUGCAGAAGAACUACUACAUUGUCUGGCAUUCCACUGAAGCAGUGUCCUUGUCUGCACAGAGGCUGGAUGAAAGCUCUUGCAUCACCUUAUAUCAGAGGGAGGCACAAAUGCUAAAGAAGUUGUGCCAAAAUACACAUUAGUAUUUGAUUUUUUUAAAAAUACCAUUGUGUCCAAAGCUAAAGAACAAAUACAAUUUUAUAUUUUCCUGUAUCUUGGUACAAUAACAUGUUGUCGCUUCAGCCAAGUAUGAAUAAUUCAUUCAGUGAAUCACUAUCAUUUCUUUUUAAACUAGCCUAGAAUAUGAUAAUAGUGCCUUUUGCAACAACAGUUAGUGCCACAAUAGUAGAACUUCCUAAGGUUAAAAUAAGAAAGGCUAAAAUAAACAUCUUUGAACUGUAAGGUCCAGAUACUUUGCAUGUCCCUAACUGUUUUGAUAUACCCAAAGACAUGAAGCAGCUAUAAAAACAGGAUUCGUAAAUCCCUCUGAAAUAAAUUGGACUUGUGCAAAGCAUUUGAUGCUGUCUUGCAUGAGAUCCUUGUCUCUAAAUUGGAGAGAUACAGAUUUGAUGGAUGGACCACUUGAUGGAUAAGGAAUUGGCUGGAUGGUCACACUCAAAGUGUUGCCAUCAACAGCUUGAUGUCCAAGUGGAGACCGGUGACGAGUUGCGUUCUUCAGGAGUCGGUAUUGGGACUGGCACUAUUUAACAUAAUGUCAGUGACAUGGACAGUGGGACUGAGUGUACCCUCAGCAGGUUUGCAGAUGACAGCA